UACGGAAGGUGCAAGCGUUGUUCGGAGUGACUGGGCGUAAAGGGCGCGUAGGCUGGAUGGUAAGAAGAUUGUGAAAACCCCGGGCUUAACCUGGGACGUGCAGUUUUGACUGCCAUUCUUGAAUGUCCGAGAGGUUAGUGGAAUUGCAGGUGUAGGAGUGAAAUCCGUAGAUAUCUGCAGGAACACCAGUGGCGAAGGCGACUCUCUGGUCUGUAACUGGCGCUGAGGCGCGAAAGCGUGGGGAGCAAACAGG
rnacentral:rRNA from 1 species